rnacentral:rRNA from 1 species
UACAGAGGGUGCUAGCGUUGUUCGGAAUCAUUGGGCGUAAAGAGCGUGUAGGCGGUUUGGUAGGUCCGCUGUGAAAACUCGAGGCUCAACCUCGAGACGCCGGUGGAAACCAUCAGACUAGAGUCCGGAAGAGGAGAGUGGAAUUCCUGGUGUAGCGGUGAAAUGCGUAGAUAUUUGGAGGAACACCGGUGGCGAAGGCGGCAUUCUGGACUGCGACUGACACUGAUGAACGAAAGCCAGGGGAGCAAACGGG